rnacentral:rRNA from 1 species
AGCAGCCGCGGUAAUUCCAGCUCCAAUAGCGUAUAUUAAAGUUGUUGCAGUUAAAAAGCUCGUAGUUGAAUUUCGGGGUCAGUAGGUUGGUCGUGCCACUGGUAUGCACUGGUCUCACUGAUUCCUCCUUCCUGAUGAACCGUAAUGCCAUUAAUUUGGUGUUGCGGGGAAUCUGGACUGUUACUUUGAAAAAAUUAGAGUGUUUAAAGCAGGCUAACGCUUGAAUACAUUAGCAUGGAAUAAUGAAAUAGGACGGUCGAUCCUAUUUUGUUGGUUUCUAGGAUUGACGUAAUGAUUAAUAGGGAUAGUUGGGGGCAUUAGUAUUCAAUUGUCAGAGGUGGAAUUCUUGGAUUUAUUGAAGACUAACUACUGCGAAAGCAUUUGCCAAGGAUGUUUUCAUUAAUCAAGAACGAAAGUUAGGGGAUCGAAGACGAUCAGAUACCGUCGUAGUCUUAACCAUAAACUAUGCCGACUAGGGAUCGGAUGAUGUUAAUUUUUUAAUGACUCAUUCGGCGCCUUA